GGUGCCAGCAGCCGCGGUAAUUCCAGCUCCAAUAGCGUAUAUUAAAGUUGUUGCGGUUAAAAAGCUCGUAGUUGGUUCUGCGUGCCACGCUGUCGGUUCACCGCCUGUCGGUGCAACUGGCAUGCCGUGGCAUGUCCUGUCGGUGGCGGAUAGGCUUCGUGGCGCUCCCUACGCGAUACGUCUCGUAGGUCGUCGCGUCGUCCUUGUACGCCGGCUCAAUCCUACCGCGGUGCUCUUUACCGAGUGUCGAGGUAGGCCGACACAUUUUACUUUGAACAAAUUAGAGUGCUUAAAGCAGGCUCUUAAAUCAGCCUGAAUAGUGGUGCAUGGAAUAAUGGAACAGGACCUUGGUUCUAUUUUGUUGGUUUUAGGAAUCCAAGGUAAUGAUCAAUAAGGACAGGCGGGGGCAUUCGUAUUGCGACGUUAGAGGUGAAAUUCUUGGAUCGUCGCAAGACGCACUAGAGCGAAAGCAUUUGCCAAGUAUGUCUUAAUUGAUCAAGAACGAAAGUUAGAGGUUCGAAGGCGAUCAGAUACCGCCCUAGUUC
rnacentral:rRNA from 1 species